rnacentral:rRNA from 1 species
CCUACGGGGGGCUGCAGUGAGGAAUAUUGGUCAAUGGACGAGAGUCUGAACCAGCCAAGUAGCGUGAAGGAUGACUGCCCUAUGGGUUGUAAACUUCUUUUAUAUGGGAAUAAAAUGUUCCACGUGUGGGAUUUUGUAUGUACCAUAUGAAUAAGGAUCGGCUAACUCCGUGCCAGCAGCCGCGGUAAUACGGAGGAUCCGAGCGUUAUCCGGAUUUAUUGGGUUUAAAGGGAGCGUAGGGGGAUUGUUAAGUCAGUUGUGAAAAUUUGCGGCUCAACCGUAAAAGUGCAGUUGAAACUGGCAGUCUUGAGUAAAGUAGAGGUAGGCGGAAUGCGUGGUGUAGCGGUGAAAUGCUUAGAUAUCACGAAGAACUCCGAUUGCGAAGGCAGCUUACUGGACUGCAACUGACACUGAGGCUCGAAAGUGUGGGUAUCAAACAGGAUUAGAUACCCUAGUAGUC